rnacentral:rRNA from 1 species
UACGGAGGGAGCUAGCGUUGUUCGGAAUUACUGGGCGUAAAGCGCACGUAGGCGGCUUUGUAAGUUAGAGGUGAAAGCCCGGGGCUCAACCCCGGAAUUGCCUUUAAGACUGCAUCGCUUGAAUCCAGGAGAGGUGAGUGGAAUUCCGAGUGUAGAGGUGAAAUUCGUAGAUAUUCGGAAGAACACCAGUGGCGAAGGCGGCCCGCUGGACAUGUAUUGACGCUGAGGUGCGAAAGCGUGGGGAGCAAACAGG